GCAGGCAAUAUCCAUGUUAAUUCAGUUUGUAACACAGUGGAGUGAGUUACAAUCAAUGCCUAGGUGGUACCUGUUUAAAUCUAAAAGAGCAGAGCAUGCACUGGCCUGCAGGAGAACGGUUAUAUAUUCAUACAGUGCUGUGCAAAAAUACAGUAUGGCCUGAAGGAGGCACUAGAUGGAAAUAACUGGACCAAUGAGAACAAUUGAGGACCAAGCUGUCCUCUCC